rnacentral:rRNA from 1 species
GUCGUGAGGCAUGCUGGAGGUAUCAGAAGUGCGAAUGCUGACAUAAGUAACGAUAAAGCGGGUGAAAAGCCCGCUCGCCGGAAGACCAAGGGUUCCUGUCCAACGUUAAUCGGGGCAGGGUGAGUCGACCCCUAAGGCGAGGCCGAAAGGCGUAGUCGAUGGGAAACGGGUUAAUAUUCCCGUACUUGGUGUUACUGCGAAGGGGGGACGGAGAAGGCUAUGUUGGCCGGGCGACGGUUGUCCCGGUUUAAGCGUGUAGGUGUGUGUUCCAGGUAAAUCCGGUUCACUUUAACACUGAGGCGUGAUGACGAGGCACCACGGUGCUGAAGCAACAAAUGCCCUGCUUCCAGGAAAAGCCUCUAAGCCUCAGGUAACAUCAAAUCGUACCCCAAACCGACACAGGUGGUCAGGUAGAGAAUACCAAGGCGCUUGAGAGAACUCGGGUGAAGGAACUAGGCAAAAUGGUGCCGUAACUUCGGGAGAAGGCACGCUGACACGUAGGUGAAGUGGUUUACCCAUGGAGCUGAAGUCAGUCGAAGAUACCAGCUGGCUGCAACUGUUUAUUAAAAACACAGCACUGUGCAAACACGAAAGUGGACGUAUACGGUGUGACGCCUGCCCGGUGCCGGAAGGUUAAUUGAUGGGGUCAGCGCAAGCGAAGCUCCUGAUCGAAGCCCCGGUAAACGGCGGCCGUAACUAUAACGGUCCUAAGGUAGCGAAAUUCCUUGUCGGGUAAGUUCCGACCUGCACGAAUGGCGUAAUGAUGGCCAGGCUGUCUCCACCCGGGACUCAGUGAAAUUGAACUCGCUGUGAAGAUGCAGUGUACCCGCGGCAAGACGGAAAGACCCCGUGAACCUUUACUAUAGCUUGACACUGAACACUGGUCCUUGAUGUGCAGGAUAGGUGGGAGGCUUUGAAGUGUGGACGCCAGUCUGCAUGGAGCCAUCCUUGAAAUACCACCCUUUAAUGGCUGGUGUUCUAACGUGGGCCCGUGAACCGGGUUGCGGACAGUGUCUGGUGGGUAGUUUGACUGGGGCGGUCUCCUCCUAAAGAGUAACGGAGGAGCACGAAGGUUGGCUAAUCCUGGUCGGACAUCAGGAGGUUAGUGCAAUGGCAUAAGCCAGCUUGACUGCGAGCGUGACGGCGCGAGCAGGUGCGAAAGCAGGUCAUAGUGAUCCGGUGGUUCUGAAUGGAAGGGCCAUCGCUCAACGGAUAAAAGGUACUCCGGGGAUAACAGGCUGAUACCGCCCAAGAGUUCAUAUCGACGGCGGUGUUUGGCACCUCGAUGUCGGCUCAUCACAUCCUGGGGCUGAAGUAGGUCCCAAGGGUAUGGCUGUUCGCCAUUUAAAGUGGUACGCGAGCUGGGUUUAGAACGUCGUGAGACAGUUCGGUCCCUAUCUGCCGUGGGCGCUGGAAGAUUGAGGGGGGCUGCUCCUAGUACGAGAGGACCGGAGUGGACGCAUCACUGGUGUUCGGGUUGUCAUGCCAAUGGCACUGCCCGGUAGCUACAUGCGGAAGAGAUAAGUGCUGAAAGCAUCUAAGCACGAAACUUGCCCCGAGAUGAAUCUUCCCUGAGCCUUUAAGGCUCCUGAAGGAACGUUGAAGACGACGACGUUGAUAGGCCGGGUGUGUAAGCGCAGCGAUGCGUUGAGCUAACCGGUACUAAUGAACCGUGAGGCUUAACCUUACAAC